UACGUAGGGUGCGAGCGUUAAUCGGAAUCACUGGGCGUAAAGCGCACGUAGGCGGCUUCUUAAGUCAGGGGUGAAAUCCUGGAGCUCAACUCCAGAACUGCCUUUGAUACUGGGAGGCUCGAGUCCGGGAGAGGUGAGUGGAACUGCGAGUGUAGAGGUGAAAUUCGUAGAUAUUCGCAAGAACACCAGUGGCGAAGGCGGCUCACUGGCCCGGUACUGACGCUGAGGUGCGAAAGCGUGGGGAGCAAACAGG
rnacentral:rRNA from 1 species